rnacentral:rRNA from 1 species
UACGUAGGUGGCAAGCGUUCUCCGGAAUUAUUGGGCGUAAAGCGCGCGCAGGCGGUUUCUUAAGUCUGAUGUGAAAGCCCACGGCUCAACCGUGGAGGGUCAUUGGAAACUGGGGAACUUGAGUGCAGAAGAGAAAAGCGGAAUUCCACGUGUAGCGGUGAAAUGCGUAGAGAUGUGGAGGAACACCAGUGGCGAAGGCGGCUUUUUGGUCUGUAACUGACGCUGAGGCGCGAAAGCGUGGGGAGCAAACAGG